rnacentral:rRNA from 1 species
CACUCCUACGGGAGGCAGCAGUGGGGAAUAUUGCACAAUGGGCGCAAGCCUGAUGCAGCCAUGCCGCGUGUAUGAAGAAGGCCUUCGGGUUGUAAAGUACUUUCAGCGGGGAGGAAGGCAAUACGGUUAAUAACCGUGUUGAUUGACGUUACCCGCAGAAGAAGCACCGGCUAACUCCGUGCCAGCAGCCGCGGUAAUACGGAGGGUGCAAGCGUUAAUCGGAAUUACUGGGCGUAAAGCGCACGCAGGCGGUCUGUCAAGUCGGAUGUGAAAUCCCCGGGCUCAACCUGGGAACUGCAUUCGAAACUGGCAGGCUUGAGUCUUGUAGAGGGGGGUAGAAUUCCAGGUGUAGCGGUGAAAUGCGUAGAGAUCUGGAGGAAUACCGGUGGCGAAGGCGGCCCCCUGGACAAAGACUGACGCUCAGGUGCGAAAGCGUGGGGAGCAAACAGGAUUAGAUACCCGAGUAGUCCC